rnacentral:rRNA from 1 species
GAUGAACGCUGGCGGCGUGCCUAAUACAUGCAAGUCGAGCGAACGGACGAGAAGCUUGCUUCUUUGAUGUUAGCGGCGGACGGGUGAGUAACACGUGGAUAACCUACCUAUAUUACUGGGAUAACUUCGGGAAACCGGAGCUAAUACCGGAUGAUAUUUUGAACCGCAUGGUUCAAAAGUGAAUGACGGUCUUGCUGUCACUUAUAGAUGGUUCCGCGCCGCAUUAGCUAGUUGGUAAGGUAACGGCUUACCAAGGCAACGAUGCAUAGCCGACCUGAGAGGGUGAUCGGCCACACUGGAACUGAGACACGGUCCAGACUCCUACGGGAGGCAGCAGUAGGGAAUCUUCCGCAAUGGGCGCAAGCCUGACGGAGCAACGCCGCGUGAGUGAUGAAGGCCUUCGGAUCGUAAAACUCUGUUAUUAGGGAAGAACAUAUGUGUAAGUAACUGUGCACAUCUUGACGGUACCUAAUCAGAAAGCCACGGCUAACUACGUG